rnacentral:rRNA from 1 species
UACGGAGGGGGCGAGCGUUAUUCGGAAUUAUUGGGCGUAAAGGGCGCGUAGGCGGCCCGGUAAGUCAAAGGUGAAAUCCCUCGGCUCAACUGAGGAACUGCCUUUGAAACUGUCGGGCUUGAGGCCGGGAGGGGGUAGCGGAAUUCCCAGUGUAGCGGUGAAAUGCGUAGGUAUUGGGAGGAACACCAGUAGCGAAGGCGGCUCCCUGGGCCAUUCCUGACGCUGAGACGCGAAAGCGUGGGGAGCAAACAGG